rnacentral:tRNA from 1 species
UAGCUCAGUUGGUAGAGCAUCGCGCUUAUAACGCCAGAGUAGUGGGUUCGAUUCCGGC